rnacentral:rRNA from 1 species
UGUUUCGGCUAGGGGGCCAUCCCGGCUUACCAACCCGAUGCAAACUGCGAAUACCGGAGAAUGUUAUCACGGGAGACACACGGCGGGUGCUAACGUCCGUCGUGAAGAGGGAAACAACCCAGACCGCCAGCUAAGGUCCCAAAGUCAUGGUUAAGUGGGAAACGAUGUGGGAAGGCCCAGACAGCCAGGAUGUUGGCUUAGAAGCAGCCAUCAUUUAAAGAAAGCGUAAUAGCUCACUGGUCGAGUCGGCCUGCGCGGAAGAUGUAACGGGGCUAAACCAUGCACCGAAGCUGCGGCAGCGACGCUGAUGCGUUGUUGGGUAGGGGAGCGUUCUGUAAGCCUGCGAAGGUGGCCUGUGAGGGUUGCUGGAGGUAUCAGAAGUGCGAAUGCUGACAUAAGUAACGAUAAAGCGGGUGAAAAGCCCGCUCGCCGGAAGACCAAGGGUUCCUGUCCAACGUUAAUCGGGGCAGGGUGAGUCGACCCCUAAGGCGAGGCCGAAAGGCGUAGUCGAUGGGAAACGGGUUAAUAUUCCCGUACUUGGUGUUACUGCGAAGG